UUGACCUCGGAUCAGGUAGGGAUACCCGCUGAACUUAAC
rnacentral:rRNA from 1 species